rnacentral:rRNA from 1 species
AGACUCUCGGCAACGGAUAUCUCGGCUCUUGCAUCGAUGAAGAACGUAGCCGAAAUGCGAUACUUGGUGUGAAUUGCAGAAUCCCGUGAACCAUCGAGUUCUUUUGAACGCAAGUUGCGCCCGAAGCCAUUAGGCCGAGGGCACGCCUGCCUGGGUGUUGCACA